UACGUAGGUGGCAAGCGUUAUCCGGAUUUAUUGGGUGUAAAGGGCGUGUAGGCGGGAGCGCAAGUCAGAUGUGAAAACUCAGGGUUCAACCCUGAGCCUGCAUUUGAAACUGUGUUUCUUGAGUGCUGGAGAGGCAAUCGGAAUUCCGUGUGUAGCGGUGAAAUGCGUAGAUAUACGGAGGAACACCAGUGGCGAAGGCGGAUUGCUGGACAGUAACUGACGCUGAGGCGCGAAAGCGUGGGGAGCAAACAGG
rnacentral:rRNA from 1 species